UACGUAGGGUGCGAGCGUUAAUCGGAAUUACUGGGCGUAAAGCGUGCGCAGGCGGUUCGUUAAGUCAGAUGUGAAAGCCCCGGGCUCAACCUGGGAACUGCAUUUGAAACUGGCGGGCUUGAGUAUGGCAGAGGGGGGUGGAAUUCCGCGUGUAGCAGUGAAAUGCGUAGAUAUUGGGAGGAACACCGGUGGCGAAGGCGGCUACCUGGACCGGUUCUGACGCUGAUGCGCGAAAGCGUGGGUAGCAAACAGG
rnacentral:rRNA from 1 species